UCUGGUUCGUAAAAAUGGAAAAGAAAGGAUCAGGACACACAUUCCCUCCAAGAAAUGGCAUGUAGUAGAAAUGACAUAUAUUAGUUUUAUAAGAAAGUUUCUUGCCUUGGAGAGUGCAGUGUUCAGCAUGCAUGGCACCAUAUACUGUCACAUAUGAAGUAUGAUACAGCUUAAGUAGCCAACUCUCUCAUUUCACACUGCCCUGCUCAGACACUUAUUUAUAUACUGUAAGAAAUUCUACAUUCUACAACUAAAGGACCUUGUAGAAGGCUCAGAGGAGAUGUAUGAACCAAUUAAAGGAUUGAAAAUAAGCCAUACAAGGCAAGAUGAAAGCAAGUGGGCUUUAUUUGGCCCACAAACGUACACUUAUGUUUUCAUAUGUCCAUUUAGGUUUUCCACGUUUCCACAGAGGAAAAACCCAUAAAACUGGAAAUAGGCUACAGCAAUAGAGAUUUAGGUUAGAUAAAAGAAAGAAUGUCUGGGUGCAUGAGGUCCUUAGACCGGUUCUGAUGUGGGGAAUAAAAGCCCUGAUCAUUGCUGGUUGGGAUAGAUUUGUUAUGAUACUAUUUGAAUACGAGGACAUGAAUCGGACAACUCCUUCCUAGCCCUAUGCUUUUAAGAAACAUCAGUUUAAUAUUAGUAUAAUUAUUAGCAUAUGGAUUUUCUUAGCAUAAAUAGGAAAUAUAACAAAAUUGUCACCAACAAGUUACUCCAUUGAAGGGUUAAAGGCAUAAAAACUUUUGCAUUUGAGACAAGUUCAUUACUUAGUGAAUUUGAUUCUUUUUUUUUUUUAAGCCAUGAUUUUUUCCCCCUCCCGGGUGGCAGUUUUAGGACUUUUUUAUUUUUUAAAGAGGUGCUAUAAGAUUCUGUCUAAAAGUAGCCUUCUACUGGACAUAUUUCAUACUUCACUCUGCAUAAUUAUUAUUACUUGAGAAGGUGAUGUAGUGUAAAGAUAUCUGAAUUACGAAGCAGGGUUCCUCUGUUAUCUCUUCCACUAGCUUGCAAUAUGACCUUGGACAGGUCAUGUUUGAAUGUCAUUCCUCAGCUGCCUUGUGGAAACCUCAGGACAGUGCUUCAAGAAGUGAUCUCUUAUGAGAUCUUUCCUUCCUUGAAAUUCUUUUGGAUUAGGAAUUCAAAUUGUGAAUUAUUAAGAAUUAUGAAAUCUUUUCAAUUAUGAAAUCAUAAUUUAGCUGAGCUCCACAACUUAGGAAAUCACCACUCAGUGCAAGAUGCUAGCCUUUCUGUCAAACUUUCUGCCUCUUCAAAGAUUGCCUCGACAUACAAAGACAGAGAGUCCACAGCGUCUUACCUAGACAGCGAGGAGCUGAAACGCCCAGGCAUGACAUUGUUCAACGCUCAGGCUAGCCAAGAAGUCCGUCCCCGUUAGUUCCUCCAAAAUAUAAGUUCACGUUUUCGUGGUUGAGAUCAUGGCUCUAUUCUAAGCAGUUUUACGCAGUGUGUGAUUCUAACAAAAACACCCUCUGCAGCUGGAGGGAGCCGCAGUUAAAGCAGGAGUCUGUCAAGGCGUUCCUAGUGACUUCUGUCCACUAAAUUCAGACUGAUGUUUUGCGAAAGGGGCCUCCACAAGCAGGCCCAGAUUGCCUGGGAAGCAUUUCCUGCCUCUGAGCAGUGCAUGUGAGAAAGAGUGCACGAAGCAGAGGGAGGGGGGCCGAGCACAGCCCGCCUGGGCGUUUUAGGAGUUCUGAUUUUACACAGAACUGAAGUGAGUUUGUCAAAGCUCUUGAGGUGAUUAGCUGGAGAGUCAUAAAGUCGUAGAGCUUUCUCUAUCCCACACUGCUGAUGAAUAAAAAAAAAAAAAAAAAGGAAAGAAAACAGAUUUUUCCUUCCUCUACAGCAUUUCCACUAUAUUAAAUGCAUGUGCACAACUUAAUCCAAAUACCUUUGCCGUUCUCCUCUCAGAAGAUCUCUUAGGAGAGCAAGAUGAAUUUAGGUGUUUUAAAAACGGUAAUCCCCUAAACGCAAAAGUUUUUUUUUCUUUUUCUUUUUUUUUUUUUAACCCUACUUACAAGUUAAAAUGCUACAGCCCUGCAUACUGUACCUGACAAGGUCUGUGAGGAUAAUCCCGAGAAGCCAGGAGAUAGAACGUUGCCUUCAAACCUCUCCAAUCCCAGGAAUCCUUCACAGAAUUAAAGUAGUUUCUGUCAUGGCACAUGCAGCUUUACCUCCAGUCAGAAUCCUCCAGUUACACAAGCGCAGGGCUGGGAGAGCAGGAGACAGACUCCAUCUUGAUCCCAUUACAGUCUUGCUGACAUUAAGUACUUGCAAGUUCUUCCAUCCAGCAUGACAGAGUCCCUGAAUCACAUCUCCAGAGCAGCUCACGGUAUCUGCACCCUUCGUCCGACACAAAUUUUGUGAACUAUCAUCUGUUUAUCUUUUCUGCUUUCUUGUGCCUCCACUGAAUGACUUCCUCCUAGCCGCUUCAGGCUGGGAACUUGGACUACCAUUUGGUUUUGAUUAAAACCAGACAGCCAACUCUGGAGAAUUUAGGGAAUAAGCUAAUGGAAACUGCAAAUAUGGCUUUAAUUAGUGCAUCAAUUAAUAAUAGAUGUUAGCUCGUCUUAUAAUAAGAUGACACAAAUAUCAACGCAGAGGAAGCUCAAGUCCUUUCAGGAAAGAAGUUAUACCAAUUCUCAUUCCUUUAUGACCCAGAAUUCUCUUUAGGGAAAGUGGAAGGAAAGGAGAGGGAUGUGGCCUUAGGACAUCCAGGUUGUGCAGAGGCCAGUGGAGCCGCUUUGUUGUUUAUACCAGAGAAACAGGAAACAGUAUCUCUGAGUUUAAUUAUCUUGCUUGGUUGAAAUUGCUCUGUAAUGUCUCCCUUCUACUUUAUUUACAAUAAGUGGAUUCUCUUGUUAUUUAUGACCUAAGCAUUUUUUUUUUUCCUGUGACUAGUGAUUACAUCAAUCUGAUUAUUGGGUCUACGUGCAGCUUACAAAUUUCUAGAGAUUUCCCGUAAUGGGAAUUAUGCGAACAAAUCCAAUUUCAAUAUGAUAAAUGAAUAACAUAUAGAAAGGUACAAGAAACACUAAACUUUUUAGCCUUAAGAGUCACCCUGUGCGUCUCUGACAUUGUAAGUAGUUUUCACUGCUGGCUUCUGUUUCAGUUGGCUCUAACUUUUAUAAAGACUGACAGAUAACUAGAUAUCACAACGGCCAUCUUUUUAGUAUCCCCAGAGAUAGUGGGUAGCUGAUAACCUGAAGAAGUAUGAUGAGAUAGCUACGAUUUCUUUUCUUACUGGAUAGAUAACUAAAAUCUCUCAGAAGUAAUGCAAAUCAUGGACUAUUAGAGAAAUAUGAAAUAGCAAGACAAAAAGACUGCAUAUGAAUUUAAAGAUGAGAAGCAUUCAAGUAAAAACAUGUGGGCAGAAAAGCAAGUGUUAGAAGUUUAUAGAAAAACAUGAGCGAUUUAAAAAAUGAGCAUUUAGAUUCCUUUAAUGCAACCUUCAACUACAUGGCAAGAAGGAAGUCCAUAAUUUCAUAAAUCCUUUGAAGACUUACUAUAUUCAUAUUGAAAAUACUUCCACUGAAACUAUGCCCAUUUACUGUUCCCAAUAAUCUUUUUGUGUGCUCUUAUUUUUUUUAAGUUUAUUUAUUUUUGAGCGA